GUAGCAAGAAGGAUUUCUGGCGCCGUUGCCGGGGAGGUCUUCGCUCAAGUCAAGACAUACCAAGUACCCAUCACAAACCCAUCUCCCCCGCAUUUACAUUAUUUGCCAUUUGCCUCUCGUUUUCCUCUCCCCCACUUCACCCUUGCCGUUUUAUUUGCCCUCUCUUUCCCAAUCUCCUCCUCUCUUCUUCGCUUGCCUUUUUCUGUUUGCUUGUGUGUUGGAUUACUUGUUGCCAUGGCGCAAGAUAAUACCAAAUUGUGUGAUUUCUCGAAUACCAAAAAUAAUGAUUUCCUUAGUACUCCGAUUGCUCCUCUUAAUGAUGUUGAGUCUUGUGAAAUCAAUACUGCUUUGCUGAAUCUUGUUAUGAAAGAUCAAUUCGCCAGCCUUCCUAGUGAAGAUGCCGCUACUCAUCUAAACAAUUUUGUUGAUUUGUGUGAUAUGCAAAAGAAGAAAGAUACGGAUAGCAAUAUUGUCAAAUUGAAGUUAUUUCCGUUUUCACUUAGAGAUCAUGCUAAAGUUUGGUUUUCGUCAUUGCCUAAAAAUAGUAUUGAUUCUUGGAACAAGUGCAAAGAUGCUUUUAUCUCUAAGUAUUUUCCUCCCGCUAAGAUCAUCACUCUUAGGAACGAUAUUAUGAAUUUUAAACAACUUGAUCAUGAGCAUGUUGCCCAAUCUUGGGAAAGAAUGAAAUUGAUGCUUCGCAAUUGCCCUACUCAUGGUUUGAAUUUAUGGAUGAUCAUACAAAAUUUUUAUGCCGGUUUGAACUUUGCUUCUAGAAAUCUCUUAGAUUCGGCCGCGGGAGGCACGUUUGUGGAAAUCACAUUAGGAGAUGCUACAAAUCUUCUUGAUAAUAUUAUGGCUAAUUAUUCUCAAUGGCACACUGAAAGAGCUUCUAGUAAAAAAGUGCAUGCUAUAGAAGAAAUCAAUGUUUUGAGUGGAAAGAUGGAUGAACUUAUGAAGAUGUUUGCUACUAAAAAUACUCCUCUUGAUCCCAAUGAUAUGCCUUUGUCUUCUUUGAUUGAGAAUAAUAAUGAAUCUAUGGAUGUGAAUUUUGUUGGUAGGAAUAGUUUUGGAAACAAUGCUUAUAGAGGAAACUUUAAUGCUUGA
rnacentral:rRNA from 1 species